rnacentral:lncRNA from 1 species
UUUUAAAACAAAACUCACGUCAUUUGCUCACACUCCCAUACUCACAACAAGCACCAGCAUGUCCAAGUAUUUGUCCAGCAUCCAAGGAUCAAGAUGCAAGUACCCAGGUGGUCUGGCCAGGAUUUCUUGUGAUGACGUGGAGGACAAGGGACACUGUCUACUGAGUCCUUCUCAUGCCUCCUCGUUUCUUCCUAGGUUGGCAGGCAUGCUGAAGUUUUGGAGGGGCUUUUUAUAUCCCUUUGGAACUGGGCUCAAGAUUCUUUCCAAAGGAAAACAGGGUGGGCUGGAGGUGCUGUAGACUUCACAAGGUCUGACAUGGCCCAAGAGGGAGCAUGGCUAUGCUGUAUACCUGAUUCGGAGAUCAAAACGGUAUGUCAAAAUGUGGAGUGAUUUGCCCUGUACAAAGAAAUUUCACAAGCAGGAAGA